GGGCAGUCAGAAUGUCAAAUCCCUAUCUCUCAUGGUUCAUCAAAAUGCCCUCUCCUGCCUGUGCUGGUGACAAGGCAGGGCUGUGGUCAGCCCACAGAGCUGUGGGAUAACCUUGAUGGUGCAGUAAGGGUUAAAGCACAGAGGGGUGCCAGCUUAUAAAGAGCCUUGAAUGCUGUGAUUAGACAUGAUGGACUUUCUUCAUCAAUCAUUGUUCAAACAAGAGCUCCGCGACCAAACAGUACUUCAGAAAGAUAGCCCUAGUUGAGAGUGUGGAGAAGAGGCCAAAGAAUGAAAUAUGUGAUGAGGGAGAAGAUGGUCACCGUGACUGAGAUGGGACACUCAGGGCCUUAACAAGCGCAGCUGGCAAGCUCAUUAAUUUGAGGGUUUACACCCUAUAAUGCUCACCAGGUCUCCACUGGGUACAGAUGUGUCCUGGGACACAGGUAGGGUGGCGGUAUGGUCUUACCUAAGUGGAUCUGAGCCAUUAGCUGGGCUCACCCCCUCCUCACGAGAGCAGAUAGAAUGCCACCUUGCAGAAAACCAAGAUGUGGGCCUCCAACAUGAAGCAUGGAGAGAUGCUCUGAGCCAGGGUGCUCCUCCAGGCUAUGGGGGAUUCACAAGAUGGGAUUUUGUCAGAAAUGGAUGUUUCUGAGUAUGUAAAAUUUAAACCAAAGCCCUGCCUCUCCAUCAUCACUGGCUGCGUUAUAAUACAGUAUGCGUAUCUCCUUCCCCAUGCCCACCAAUGGAAAGAAAAACUCCACACAUUAUCUCCAAGCAGAUGGAAAAUGGCUUCGCUCUUUGGGUUAUAGGGGAAACGCAGCAGAAAAACUUGUCCAGACGGUGGGUAUGAAUUCAAAUGAAAAACCCACCCUUCAAAGACCAGGGUGUGUUCCCGGUGGGAGCCACACAAGCUUUUGGAAAGAAGUGUGGCAAUGCUGUUCAGAAAUUCCUACUUGCCCUUUUGCAAUCGUUUAAAUAAUCUGUGCUGCGCAAUGGGUACUUUACCUGACCUAGUUAAGAAUCAGAUUGCUAUUUUAACUGAGAAAAAUGGUACUUUCAAUCAGUUUAGAAAGAAGAAAAGAAUAAACAUUAUCAAGACCAUCUCUUAGAAGAUUAGGACAAAAAAAUCCAGGAGACGCUUCAAAGCUGUUUUUGUUUUUCUUGGCUUUGAAAUACAUAGACAGUCCUGAUAAUUUUAUCUUCCUCGAAAUAUAGCAAAUAAAGUCUAUUUACUACUCCCG
rnacentral:lncRNA from 1 species